rnacentral:lncRNA from 1 species
GGAAAUUCCGAUCCUUUUCAAAUUUAUUUGUGCUUGUUUUCAACUUAAUUGUUAAAAAUCAUGAAAAUUUUGAGUUAAGAUCAACAGUUCAUUCAUUAGUAAUUGAGGUAUAAAUCUGUUAUAGGAAUUAUUAGGAUUUGAUUUAGGGUUUAGGAUUUGGUUUAAAAUUUGGUUAGGAUUUGAUUUAGAAUUAGGAUUUGGUUAGGAUUUGAUUUAGGAUUAGGAUUUGGUUAGGAUUUGAUUUAGGAUUAGGAUUUGGUUAGGAUUUGAUUUAGGAUUAGGAUUUGGUUAGGGUUUGAUUUAUGAUUAGAAUUUGGUUUAGGAUUUAGGAUUUGGUUAGGGCUUGAUUUAAGAUUAGGGUUUGAUUUGAAUUUAUUUAGGAUUUAAGAUUUAGUUAGUUUUUGGCCUAAAGUUUGAAUGAAGUCUAAUAGGAUUUUAACUAGGAUUAAAUUAAGAUUGAAUUGAGAUGUAUUUGAGAUAUAUUUAUGAUUAUUCUAAUAAUUUUUUAAGAUUUUUUAUUAUUUCUUUGUAAUUCCUUUGAAGUUUCUUUGAAUUUGAU